AGAGUUUGAUCAUGGCUCAGGACGAACGCUGGCGGCGUGCUUAACACAUGCAAGUCGAACGAUGAACCACUUCGGUGGGGAUUAGUGGCGAACGGGUGAGUAACACGUGGGCAAUCUGCCCUGCACUCUGGGACAAGCCCUGGAAACGGGGUCUAAUACCGGAUACUGACCCGCUUGGGCAUCCAAGCGGGUCGAAAGCUCCGGCGGUGCAGGAUGAGCCCGCGGCCUAUCAGCUUGUUGGUGAGGUAAUGGCUCACCAAGGCGACGACGGGUAGCCGGCCUGAGAGGGCGACCGGCCACACUGGGACUGAGACACGGCCCAGACUCCUACGGGAGGCAGCAGUGGGGAAUAUUGCACAAUGGGCGAAAGCCUGAUGCAGCGACGCCGCGUGAGGGAUGACGGCCUUCGGGUUGUAAACCUCUUUCAGCAGGGAAGAAGCGAAAGUGGCGGUACCUGCAGAAGAAGCGCCGGCUAACUACGUGCCAGCAGCCGCGGUAAUACGUAGGGCGCGAGCGUUGUCCGGAAUUAUUGGGCGUAAAGAGCUCGUAGGCGGCUUGUCACGUCGGUUGUGAAAGCCCGGGGCUUAACCCCGGGUCUGCAGUCGAUACGGGCAGGCUAGAGUUCGGUAGGGGAGAUCGGAAUUCCUGGUGUAGCGGUGAAAUGCGCAGAUAUCAGGAGGAACACCGGUGGCGAAGGCGGAUCUCUGGGCCGAUACUGACGCUGAGGAGCGAAAGCGUGGGGAGCGAACAGGAUUAGAUACCCUGGUAGUCCACGCCGUAAACGGUGGGCACUAGGUGUGGGCGACAUUCCACGUCGUCCGUGCCGCAGCUAACGCAUUAAGUGCCCCGCCUGGGGAGUACGGCCGCAAGGCUAAAACUCAAAGGAAUUGACGG
rnacentral:rRNA from 1 species